rnacentral:lncRNA from 1 species
AGACAAAACGGAAAAGAUGACAUUUAUUCUAUACUUUUUUGAAAUAAUUUUUCAACAAUGGUGCUUGAAGUUUUGUGACUCAUCAAGCCAAGAGGAAGAAUUUCAGGGAAGAAAAUGACAUCUUUUGAAUUUUCAAGGGUUUCAGAUUUCUCAUCUUCUGGGGAAACGGCAUAGUCCAGAAAAUAGACCAAAAGAAGAGUCAGAGAGACCAGCAAGAACGGUCUCCUGGGCAGAGCCCCAGAGAGGGAGGCAGAGAGGCAAGUAGGGGAUAAGUUCACCAACCCCACGUCCCAUCCCAUCUUUAUAGCAGCCCUAACUCUACACCAGAGUUUAUAGAAAGUUCCUUGAGAAUGAGUUACAGAAAAAGAAAAAGGUGGUGUGUGUUGUCUGUGUGUGUUGAGUAGUGGUGUGUGUGUGUGUGUGUGUGUGUGUGUGUGUGUGUGUGUGUGGUGUUGAUGGAUUGGGGUGGAAAAUAACCAAAAGAGAGAGAGAUGUGGGAUCUCAGAAUCAGGAAAAGCAACCACAGAGAAGGGAAGCCAAGGAUGAGCGCUGGGCUUCCAGCUGGGCAUAUGCAGCAGACCUAGAGAGCCUCUAAUCCAGACUGGAAUGAGAAGUCGAGGGCUCUGUGGACAGGGGACUUGAUGUCAUACCUCAUAUGAAGCACAAUUUGAAAGACACUGAGGGAUGAUUGAAAAUAAACAGUGCAAGAGGGAGUUCCUGCCAUGGCUCAGGGGAAACAAAUCCGACAACUAUCCAUGAGGGCUCAGGUUCAAUCCCUGGCCUCGCUCAGUGGGUUAAGGAUCCAGCAUUGCCGUGAGCUGUGGUGUAGGUCAAGGACACAGCUCAGAUCCUGUUGUUGUGGCUGUGGUGUAGGCUGGCAGCUACAGCUUCAAUUCGACCCCUAGCCUGGGAACUUCCCCAUGCUGUGGUGGGGCCCUAAAAAGACAAAAAACAAAACAAACAGUUCGAGGGGUAAAGACAAAGGCAGAUGGAAACUCCAGAAAAAAACUAAAGCUGUGCUAAAAACCAUGUGCAACUAUUUGGUAUAAGUUGGCUCUAAGAAAACAUUGCAAGAAUGUAAACCUUUUUUUAAAAAUUUUUAUAAUAAAUUUAUUUGCAACACCUCAUUUCCCAUGUUGAUUAUUUCGAUUAUUUUUUUUCUUUUUUAGGGCCACACCCACAGCAUAUGGAGCUUCCCAGGCUAGGGGUCUAA